UACGGAGGGUGCAAGCGUUAAUCGGAAUUACUGGGCGUAAAGCGUCUGUAGGUGGCUUUUCAAGUCCGCCGUCAAAUCCCAGGGCUCAACCCUGGACAGGCGGUGGAAACUGCCAAGCUGGAGUACGGUAGGGGCAGAGGGAAUUUCCGGUGGAGCGGUGAAAUGCGUAGAGAUCGGAAAGAACACCAACGGCGAAAGCACUCUGCUGGGCCGACACUGACACUGAGAGACGAAAGCUAGGGGAGCGAACGGG
rnacentral:rRNA from 1 species